CACUUAACAGCUAGCCCACAUAUAAUUCCAACACACCCAUAUUUAUAACCCUUAAAACCCUUAACCAUCUAAUUAAACCAUUUUUCCACUCGAGUAUAGGCGAUAGAAAAAGAUCUUUUGGCGCAAUAGAGAAAGUACCGCAAGGGAAUGCUGAAAGAGAAAUGAAAUAACUCAGUUUAAGUAAAGAAAAGCAGAGCUAUAUCCUCGUACCUUUUGCAUCAUGUUCUAGCUAGAGACCCUCAAGCGAAAAGCAUUUUAGUUUGACAACCCGAAACUGAGUGAGCUACCCCAGGACAGCCUAGAAUACAGGGCCAACCCGUCUCUGUGGCAAAAGAGUGGGAAGAUCCUUGGGUAGAGGUGACAAACCUACCGAACUUAGUUAUAGCUGGUUACCUAGGAAUUGAAUAGAAGUUCAGCCUAUUGAAUUCUCCCCUCUAAUAUAGGUCUACACCUAAGGUUUAUGAUUAAGAGAAGUCAAAAGAGUUAGUCAAAGGGGGUACAGCCCCUGUGAAAUAAGACACAACUUUAUUUAGGAGGAUAAGGAUCAAAGUCUACCCAAGGUAGAAUAUUUUAGUGGGCCUAAAAGCAGCCACCCCAAAAGAAAGCGUUAAAGCUCGGAUAUAUAAGAAACCUUUAAUUCUGAUUACAAAAUCCAACUCCCCUUUAUUUACUAGGUCUUCCCAUAACAACCCAUGGGAGUGAUUAUGCUAGUAUGAGUAAUAAGAGAUACAAGCAUCUCUCCACGCACAAGUGUAUCUCGGAACGGACACACCACCGAGUAUUACCCGCCCCCAAGAAAAGAGGGCACUGAGCUAAAAACAGAAAACUAGAAAAGUACUCAACUAAUAAGCGUUGACCCCACACUGGUGCGCGAACAUGGAAAGACUAAAAGGGAGAGAAGGAACUCGGCAAAAUUACUUCUAAGCCUCGCCUGUUUACCAAAAACAUCGCCUCUUGCCAAUGAAGCAUAAGAGGUCCCGCCUGCCCUGUGACUAUAAGUUUAACGGCCGCGGUAUUUUGACCGUGCGAAGGUAGC
rnacentral:rRNA from 1 species